rnacentral:rRNA from 1 species
CAAUGGGCGAAAGCCUGAUCCAGCAAUGCCGCGUGAGUGACGAAGGCCUUAGGGUUGUAAAGCUCUUUUACCAGGGAUGAUAAUGACAGUACCUGGAGAAUAAGCUCCGGCUAACUCCGUGCCAGCAGCCGCGGUAAUACGGAGGGAGCUAGCGUUGUUCGGAAUUACUGGGCGUAAAGAGUACGUAGGCGGUGAUUCAAGUCAGAGGUGAAAGCCUGGAGCUCAACUCCAGAACUGCCUUUGAAACUAGAUCGCUAGAAUUAUGGAGAGGUUAGUGGAAUUCCGAGUGUAGAGGUGAAAUUCGUAGAUAUUCGGAAGAACACCAGUGGCGAAGGCGACUAACUGGACAUAUAUUGACGCUGAGGUACGAAAGCGUGGGGAGCAAACAGGAUUAGAUACCCUGGUAGUCCACGCCGUAAACGAUGAUAACUAGCUGUUCGGGGUCUACGAUCCUGAGUGGCGCAGCUAACGCAUUAAGUUAUCCGCC